rnacentral:tRNA from 1 species
ACUUUUCUAGUAAAAAUAUAUUAUGCUAUCUUGAUAAGGUAGAGUUCCUUUUGGGAGAAGUA